rnacentral:rRNA from 1 species
CCCUUAGAUGUUCUGGGCUGCACGCGUGCUACACUGAUAUUGCCAAUAUGUCAUUCUUAUCCGAAAUGGAUUGGGUAAUCAAGUAAUGAAAUUUCAUGCUUGGAAUCGGUAAUUGCAAUUUUAUCGUGAACGAGGAAUUCCUAGUAAGCACUAGUCAUCAGCUAAUGUUGAUUAUGUCCCUGCCCUUUGUACACACCGCCCGUCGCUACUACUGAUUGGGUGUUCAAGUGAGAUGCUUAGACCCUUGUUGCAUGGUUCAUUAGUGUGCUCCGAAAGGAAAAAGUUUCAAGCUUGAGUGUCUAGAGGAAGUAAAAGUCGUAACA